rnacentral:rRNA from 1 species
UAGGGAAUCUUCCGCAAUGGACGCAAGUCUGACGGAGCAACGCCGCGUGAGUGAAGAAGGAUUUCGGUUCGUAAAACUCUGUUGUUAGAGAAGAACAGCGCAUAGAGUAACUGUUAUGCGUGUGACGGUAUCUAACCAGAAAGCCACGGCUAACUACGUGCCAGCAGCCGCGGUAAUACGUAGGUGGCAAGCGUUGUCCGGAUUUAUUGGGCGUAAAGCGAGCGCAGGCGGUCAAUUAAGUCUGAUGUGAAAGCCCCCGGCUCAACCGGGGAGGGUCAUUGGAAACUGGUUGACUUGAGUGCAGAAGAGGAGAGUGGGAUUCCAUGUGUAGCGGUGAAAUGCGUAGAUAUAUGGAGGAACGCCAGUGGCGAAGGCGACUCUCUGAUCUGUAACUGACGCUGAGGCUCGAAAGCGUGGGUAGCAAGCAGG